CAUUUGCGACGGUGGAGAGUUUUGGAUUUGAUUUGCGUCAGCUGGAUUUGCUUUCCGAUAGUUGGGUGAUCGGAUAGCCGAAACAGAGAUCCUAAAACUGUAUAUUUAACAGCUGAUCCCCACUGUCGCUACUAUUCCACAAACCAUAUUCCAAAAACAUCCAUUCUUCUCUCAGUAACGGAUCUCCUCCUUCAACAGAGUCACCACGUUCAAAGGAUGACUGCAGUUACAAACAUAAAGACAACAACUAAUGUUCAUCACAAAAAGGGAAGCAGUUCUCAGAGAAUUUUGUUGCUACCUGUGGGAAGAUGAUGCGUGUCUAAUUCAUGAGUACAAGGACAUCCAGUGUGAUGACAUCCAGAGAGACAUGGAGAAGCACAGCAUUGAUGUUUGUCAUCAAAAAGGAAGGCGCUGAAAGAGAAGAUCCUGCAGAUGUCGGCGUUUUCUUGAAGGUGUGAUUCUACUGGAACACAUGAGAUCUCCAGCCAGAGCGUGAGCAGCAAUGCUUGGAGGAAUUUAUGCAGUGAACUUGGCUUACCCAGAAGAACUGAGAUACCAGUAUAAAUUCAUUCAGAAGGUGGUCAUGCAAAUGAAUGGGGAAAAGCUUUCCCCAAAAGUCCUUGUGUUCAAGAUCAAAACUUCGCACAGGAACUCUGGAACACUGAAACCAAACUUCUGGAUAGGUCUGAGAUGUUGUAUGUGAUUUGAAGACUGUUGGACAAAUGACCAAAAAGCCUUAGAGGCUGCAAUACCCAAAAGUUGUUUCAUGUUGUGCUGCGGAAGUUUCGUUUGUUUAUGUCAACAUUUACUUUGGGAUUGUGGUUCCCAUUUUCACUGUUUUAUGAUUUUGUGUUGUACAUACAACUGCAAAAUUCUUUCUUUGUUUAGUAUGAUGUUUCAUUUAUGUCAAAACUCCACGCAGAACGUUAUAGUUUAGAGAAUGUUUAUUUUUCACUGAGCUCUGCACUGAUUAUUGUUCAGUCAGAGUUGUGAUGUUGUAUUUACAUUUUUUUAUAUAAACUUGAGGAGACAUCUACUAAUUAAAGCUGCAUUCUUGUAUGCCGUUUUAAGUUUAAAUAACCUAAUAAGUCAUUUUGACUUCCGAACAGUAUGAUGACACGUUUAGAUUUGGGGUAUUGUUUAAACAAAGCCUGAUGAAUGUUAGUUUAAAGAAAUUGCUUGAUACCAGAUUUGUUUAAUAAAACAUUUUUGAUACUA